rnacentral:misc_RNA from 1 species
GUUUUUAUAACUUAAUUGUUGUUAAAC